rnacentral:tRNA from 1 species
GGGAGUUUAGCUCAGCUGGGAGAGCAUCUGCCUUACAAGCAGAGGGUCAGCGGUUCGAUCCCUUUAACUCCCA